CUGAAGUGUCCAGCAGCACUGAGCUCUUACGCUGGUCUGACUGUAGAUGUGCCGCUCACAAACUGGAUCUUCAGGUUUUCGUGACACAACAGACCCAUGAAGGACGUUUGGUAAUUCAACAUGAACACGUUUACACGGACUGAGAGAUCUGACACACCACUCUGAAGGCUUCGGGAGCGACCGCCGUUGAGCCCGUCUCCUCCAGAUACCUCUCCCACGAGAAGCGGUCAGGGUCCGGAUAGUCUGCGGGACAAGAUCACAUCCAGCCAGUCUGUUAUAAAAGCAGGCCACCCAAACAGAGUACAGUACACUAGCCUUCAAACGUCUGGGGAUUCACAGAUGAACAGAAAGUUCCAAAGAACAGUAUUUAUUUUAAAUAUUUUGUAACAUUUAAUGUGUCCUUGCUGACUAUUUUUUUUACUUUCCUCUAAACUUUUUGUGUAGUGUAUACGUGUGUGUAUAUAUGUGUGUGUGUUUCGUCAUAUAUAAUCAUUCCAAACGUUUAACUGGUACUGUAUAAAUAUAUUAUAUGAACGUCACAAGUCUGCUUUUCUACAGUAUCACAAAUGAACUACAUUA